rnacentral:rRNA from 1 species
AUGACACACGUCCUAGUUCAUCUAGUCAACGAGAUUGUCAUUCUGGGGCCCGUAUUUCUACACAAUAUGUUCCCCUUUGAGAGGUUCAUGGGAGUCCUAAAGAAAUAUGUCCGUAACCGCGCUAGGCCAGAAGGAAGCAUCUCCAUGGGCCAUCAAACAGAGGAUGUCAUUGGGUUUUGUGUUGACUUCAUUCCUGGCCUAAAGAAGAUAGGUCUCCCUAAAUCGCGGUAUGAGGGGAGACUGACUGGAAAAGGCACGCUGGGAGGGGCCUCAAUAAUAUGCAGGGAUGGAUGUUCUUGGUCUCAAGCACACUACAGAGUUCUACAGAACUCUACCUUGGUGACCCCGUAUGUCGAUGAACACAAGAACAGUCUGCGCUCCAAACACCCGGAGCAGUGCGACGACUGGAUUACAUGUGAACACAUCAGGACUUUCAGCAGUUGGUUGGAAACACGUCUCAGAGGUGACAACACUGUUUGUGAUGAGUUGUACUUGUUGUCCAGGGGACCAUCUUUGACUGUAUUGACUUACAAAGGAUACGAGAUAAAUGGGAAUACAUCUUACACGAUCGCCCAAGAUCAAAAGAGCACCAACCAAAACAGCGGUGUCCGCUUUGAUGCAGCAACCGAGACGGGAAAGGACACAUAA